rnacentral:lncRNA from 1 species
UAUAUUCUUUUUUUUCUCACAUUAUCAUGCUCCAUCAUAAGUGACUCAACAUAGUUCCUCUCCUGACUUUUUAUACUCACUCCCCGGCUAUCUCAUCCAGUGCCAUCUAUACCCUGGUGACUCUCAAAUCCUAUCUGCAGCCCUUGGAACUCAGUGCAGAGCAUCCACUGGCCCAUCCACAUCAUAGGUGUCUACCAUGCAUCUGAAAUUCAACGUGCCCCAAACAAAUCCUGACUUCUCCUUCAGAACCUACCCCCUUCCAAUGUUUGCCAUCUCAGUAAAUCUUGCCACCAGGUCAAAAAAAAAACAAAAAAAAAAAACAAAAAAAACCAGGCACCUUCAUAUUUGUACACCAAAGAUCUUGGAGUCACCUUGACCCUUCUCUUUCUUUCUCACCCCACAUCCAACUCACCUGAAUAUCCUGUGGUCUCUCUUCAACAUCUCUCCAGGAUCCGACUCCUCUUCGCCUCCUCUCCCACUCCCUGUCUUGGUCAAGCAAGCUUCUUCAGCUGGAGGGCUGUGAUGACUUCUUAGCUAAAUGAACAAAUGAAUAAAUGAUGCUGCGAGUGUUGCAAUUAACGCUAUCAACACAGACAUGUAUUCCUGAGGACACCAGCAGACACGUAACUGAACAGGUUCCCAUGCAGCAGCAGCCGUCAAGUCAAACAGUGAUUAAGUGCCUACUGUAUGCACGGCUCCAGUUGCUGGAUGGGUUCUUGUUCUCAAGUCGCGCCCACCACCAAAGUGGCCUCCUGGCCUGGCACAGCCGACCAGCCCCACCAGGAAAUCCGGGACUGGACCUGGGCAGGUGGGUGAGGGAUUCAGGGCUGUUUCAGGAGGAUCCUUGGAGCUUUCAGGAGCACAAAGAACUCUUCCUUUUUGUCCAUUGCGGGGUCUUUCUGUUCCACACCAUCCAAGAGCUGGAGAUUCCUAGUGGAGUGCACACUUUAACCCUUCAAUUCAGAAAUUUAUGCUCAAAUCUCUUAGAAGGAGGAGAAUCUGCCCCAGUCAGGGCUUCGGCUGAAAACCGAGCAUUGCAUUUUCUUUUCUUUCUUUUUUUGGCCAUCCACCGACAGAUGGAGUUCCUGGGCUAG